rnacentral:rRNA from 1 species
GUGUCAGCCGCCGCGGUAAUACGUAGGUGGCAAGCGUUGUCCGGAAUUAUUGGGCGUAAAGCGCGCGCAGGCGGUCCUUUAAGUCUGAUGUGAAAGCCCACGACUCAACCGUGGAGGGUCAUUGGAAACUGGGGGACUUGAGGACAGAAGAGGAGAGCGGAAUUCCACGUGUAGCGGUGAAAUGCGUAGAUAUGUGGAGGAACACCAGUGGCGAAGGCGGCUCUCUGGUCUGUAACUGACGCUGAGGCGCGAAAGCAUGGGUAGCGAACAGGAUUAGAAACCCUGGUAGUCC